rnacentral:lncRNA from 10 species
AAUUUUUUUUUUCUCAGUUGUCACCACAGUCGGCCUCACUUCAACAACAGCAGGCAGUGUUGGCUGGUGUCUCUGAUGAGGAAAGUGAAGCCUAGAAAUAAGGAAUUCACUUCAAAGGCACCUUGUACGAAUUUCAUACUUGAAAUCCAGUUUGGCUGAAAUAAAAGCCUGUGAUUUUUUUCAUAACAACUAAGUAUAAUGGAUAAAAUUUGGUUAAUUAAAGAUUUUUUUAGGCCAGGCGUGGUGGCUCACUUCUGUAAUCCCAACACUUUGGGAGGCCAAGUGAUCUGCCCACCUCGGCCCUGCAAAGUGCUGGGAUUACAGGCAUGAGCCAUCAUGCCCAGUCUUCAAUCAUCUCUUUAAAGACCCUAGUUCCAAAUAAAGUUACAUUCUCAUUUACCAGGGGCUAGGACUUCAACAUAUGAAUUUGGGGGAGGCACACUUCAGCCCAUGACAGACACAACUGGAUAUUAGAUGAUGUUAUGGAAUUCUUGGUACUUUUUUCAGGUAUCAUAAUGGCUUGUGGUUCUGUAGGAAGAUGUCAUGGGGGGAUGCAUGAUGAAAUAUGUUGGGAUGAGGAGUGAUAGAGAAUUGCACAUUAAUUUCAAAGGUUCCAUACCAGCAGAAGUGUUUGUGGGG